ACGGAAGGCAGCAGUGAGGAAUAUUGGUCAAUGGGCGGAAGCCUGAACCAGCCAAGUCGCGUGAAGGAUGAAGGUAUUAUGUAUUGUAAACUUCUUUAGCAGCAGAGUAAUAAGGGGGUCGUGACCCCCGAUGCAAGUAUGCUGAAAAUAAGGAUCGGCUAACUCCGUGCCAGCAGCCGCGGUAAUACGGAGGAUCCGAGCGUUAUCCGGAUUUAUCGGGUUUAAAGGGUGCGCAGGCGGUUUUUUAAGUCAGUGGUUAAAUCGUGAGGCUCAACCUCAUCACGCCAUUGAUACUGGAAGACUUGAUUGCGGUUGAGGUUGGCGGAAUUCGUCGUGUAGCGGUGAAAUGCAUAGAUAUGACGAAGAACACCGAUUGCGUAGGCAGCUGACCAAGCCGUAAAUGACGCUCAUGCACGAAAGUGCGGGGAUCGAACAGGAUUAGAUACCCUGGUA
rnacentral:rRNA from 1 species